GACGAACGCUGGCGGCGUGCUUAACACAUGCAAGUCGAGCGGUAAGGCCCUUCGGGUACGACGAGCGGCGAACGGGUGAGUAACACGUGGGUGACCUGCCUCUAGCUCUGGGAUAAGCCUGGGAAACUGGGUCGUAAUACCGGAUAUGACUCCACGGCGCAUGUUAUGGGGUGGAAAGCCUUGUGUGGCUAGAGAUGGGCCCGCGGCCUAUCAGCUUGUUGGUGGGGUGAUGGCCUACCAAGGCGACGACGGGUAGCCGGCCUGAGAGGGCGACCGGCCACACUGGGACUGAGACACGGCCCAGACUCCUACGGGAGGCAGCAGUGGGGAAUCUUGCGCAAUGGGCGAAAGCCUGACGCAGCGACGCCGCGUGAGGGAUGACGGCCUGGUGUAACU
rnacentral:rRNA from 1 species